CCUACGGGCGGCUGCAGUGGGGAAUAUUGGACAAUGGGCGAAAGCCUGAUCCAGCCAUGCCGCGUGUGUGAAGAAGGCCUUCGGGUUGUAAAGCACUUUCAGUGGGGAAGAAAGCCUUGGGGCUAAUACCCUCGAGGAAGGACAUCACCCACAGAAGAAGCACCGGCUAACUCCGUGCCAGCAGCCGCGGUAAUACGGAGGGUGCGAGCGUUAAUCGGAAUUACUGGGCGUAAAGCGCGCGUAGGCGGUCUGAUAAGCCGGUUGUGAAAGCCCCGGGCUCAACCUGGGAACGGCAUCCGGAACUGUCAGGCUAGAGUGCAGGAGGGGAAGGUAGAAUUCCCGGUGUAGCGGUGAAAUGCGUAGAGAUCGGGAGGAAUACCAGUGGCGAAGGCGGCCUUCUGGACUGUCACUGACGCUGAGGUGCGAAAGCGUGGGUAGCAAACAGGAUUAGAUACCCCAGUAGUC
rnacentral:rRNA from 1 species